CCUACGGGUGGCAGCAGUGGGGAAUAUUGCACAAUGGGCGCAAGCCUGAUGCAGCCAUGCCGCGUGUGUGAGGAAGGCCUUCGGGUUGUAAAGCACUUUCAGCGGGGAGGAAGGCGGUGAGGUUAAUAACCUCAUCGAUUGACGUUACCCGCCGAAGAAGCACCGGCUAACUCCGUGCCAGCAGCCGCGGUAAUACGGAGGGUGCAAGCGUUAAUCGGAAUUACUGGGCGUAAAGCGCACGCAGGCGGUCUGUCAAGUCGGAUGUGAAAUCCCCGGGCUCAACCUGGGAACUGCAUUCGAAACUGGCAGGCUAGAGUCUUGAAGAGGGGGGUAGAAUUCCAGGUGUGGCGGUGAAAUGCGUAGAGAUCUGGAGGAAUACCGGUGGCGAAGGCGGCCCCCUGGACAAAGACUGACGCUCAGGUGCGAAAGCGUGGGGAGCAAACAGGAUUAGAUACCCCAGUAGUC
rnacentral:rRNA from 1 species